rnacentral:misc_RNA from 1 species
AAAGAGUCUGAUCUCCGGAUCUACUCCCACCACAUGUCUACCCAACCUGUUGCUUCGGCGAGCCGACCGCCUCGCGGUCCCUCGGCCCCCCCGGGGGCUGGGGAGCGCUCGCCGGGGAAUCUUUAAACUCGGCUUGAAAACGUGUAGUCUGAGUUAAAAACAAACGAAUAAAUCA